rnacentral:rRNA from 1 species
GUCCUUGCCGUAAACGAUGUAUACUUGGUGUAGUUGGGCUCAACCCUGGCUGUACCGAAGCGAACGCGAUAAGUAUACCGCCUGAGGAGUACACUCGCAAGGGGUGAAACUCAAAAGAAUUGACGGGGGCCGCACAAGCAGUGGAGCAUGUGGUUUAAUUCGAUGCAACGCGAAGAACCUUACCCAGGCUCGAAAUGCAGGAGACGUUACCAGAGAUGGUAAUUUCCGUAAGGACUGCUGUAUAGGUGCUGCAUGGCUGUCGU